ACAUUGGUGGCAGCGGUGGGAUGGUCCUUUCAUCCACAGCGCAGAUGCUGGGUGGAGUCUCAAUACGCCAAAUUGAAGAGGCCUACCCUAAAGGAUUUACUAGAGAACCGGGGAAGGAGUGCCAGUAACAGACCACGGAGGGAGCUGAUCGCAGACCUACUAGAGCUGGACGAGAUGGAUCGGUCCAUGGACGUAACAGAGACACAGAGGCAAGACAGCGAGGAGGACGAGGUCGCCCGCAUCGUACAGAGGAGACUGGCCUUCUAUCCAGAGACAUCAGUGGAGCUGAUUGAGCGGCUGUUCCUUGAUGCCAAAGCAGAUAUCCGGGAGAGGAGGGGGCACGAAAUCGAACUGGUAAGAGCCCAGCAGCCCAUUACACAUACAGUUCCUGCUUCCCCUCCGCCUACUACCCCAAGGAAGGUGCCAUUUACUGCAUUCAAGGCGUUUGUAGAGAAUGAAGAGGAGAUCGAUGGAUAUUUAGCCGAUUUCGAGAGACAGUGCUCUUUACACCAGGUACCCCCUGACCAAUGGGUUACCAUUUUAGCUGGGAAGCUGUCAGGCAAGGCUAACGAGGCCUUUCGGACCCUCACCGCAGAGGAUAUUUUACAGUACCAGCAGGUCAAAAAGGCCCUGUUAGCCCGUUAUGCUGUGAGGCAUACCGCCGACGGUUCCAUGAGUCUAAAAAGAAAGCUGUGGACUCUCACAUGGAAUGGGCCAACCGUCUACAGCGACUAGCCUCCCACUGGGUCAAAGGAUGUAAUGCCAGUACAGGGGAGGAAGUCUUACAACUAUUUCUAAUGGAACACUUCUUCCAGGAUUUAGCAGCUGAUCUACAGGACUGGGUAAGGGAUCGACGACCCAGCAACCUGAAGGAGGCGGCUUGGCUAGCAGACGAGUAUGCCGAAACAAGGAGAGUUAGUCAAAGCUCUCACCGCACAACCAGCAGGCCAGAACCAUGUACCCCAACCAGUAAUUUUCAUCCGGAGUUCCGUGCUCCCGUAUCGCCCACAGGGGUCCCCCAGCUACCCAAGAGAUGUAUCUCGGAUGGCGUUCCAUCGCUGCAACAACCUGGGACACAUUGCCCGCCACUGCCUCCUGGGGUCCGCAGCCAACAACUGGCGACGACCCUCACCACCCACAGAGACCGCAUCACCCCGCCCUCCUAUUUCGUCCCCACGUACCUCGGCCGCCCAUUGCCUGGAGGUGGGCCCCAAGGAAUGCCUGGGUAUCUUGUAUGAGGCGGACCCGAUACAAGCCGCCUCACCAGAUAAUCGACAACACCAUCGACAAGAAGUGCGGGUGAACGGGCAGGUGGCGCAAGGAUUGAGAGACACUGGGGCCACCAUUACCUUAAUGCAGAGACAUCUGAUAAAACCUGUACAUUUGUCCAACCGAAUUGUGGCUGUACGAGUUGCUGGAGGAGCUGUUUUCCGUUUAGCCACUGCUAGGGUACACCUGGAUUGGGGAGUCGGGUCUGGGAAGACCACUGUGGGCAUCAUGGACAAUUUACCCGCAGAAGUCGUACUGGGCAAUGACAUUGGCCCUCUUGCAUCAGCUACGACUGCUGCCGCUUGCCCAGUGACCACACGUUCCCAGGCUUAUGCUGCCGACGACCCUGCACCAGGACGGGAGACCCAGGUAAGCCACGAACCAGCCCCUAGGCCAGACCCCAUAGACAGACACUUAGCUUGGGAUACCCCCGAGGCAUUUGGGAGGGAGACACGGGCAGAUCCUACCCUCCAAAAAUACAGGGAGCUUGCCGAUAGUGGGGGGAGUGAGAAGGAACGCUUUAUCUGGGAUAAUGACCGACUGUAUAGAUUGACAGAAGGGAAAAAGACAGGCGGUAUCCCAUCACAGAAGCGCCAACUGGUGGUACCCAGAAAAUACCGGUUGGAACUUCUGCGAAUUGGACAUGAUAUUCCCUUGGCAGGACAUUUAGGAGGUAACCGCACUACCUACAGGAUUACCCAGACCUUCUUUUGGCCGGGAAUCUCGAAGGAUGUGUGACGUUACUGCAGUACUUGUGACGUGUGUCAACGAGUAGGGAAGCGAGGGGACCACCCGAAAGCAAGACUGUUACCCAUGCCAGUAAUCGAGGAACCAUUUAGCAGGGUGGCAGUCGAUCUGGUGGGUACCUUACCGAAUCCCAGUCCCUCCGGUAAGUGCCUUGGUCGGGAUAUUCACCCGUGUGGGGUUUCCACAAGAGAUUUUGUCUGACCGAGGGACGCAAUUUACCGCAGAUCUGACCCAACAGUUAUGGAAGGUCUGUGGUAUCAAGACCCUAUUCAGCUCACCAUACCACCCCCAGACUAACGGACUCUGUGGACGCUUUAAUGGUACCCUGAAACAAUUACUGCGGACCUUUACAGCGGAAUACAGAGACUGGGAGCGAUUCCUGCCGCACCUCUUGUUUGCCUACCGAGAGGUGCCACAGGAAUCCACUGGGUUCUCUCCGUUCAAGCUGCUCUAUGGACGACGAGUGCGAGGCCCCCUCGACCUCAUCCGAGAGCACUGGGAAGGAGAGAUGGAACAUGAGGGUGUCCCGAUUGUACCAUACGUUCUGGAGAUGAGAGACCGCAUGGAGCAGUUAGCUCGGAUGGCUAGAGACCAUCUCCAGGCGGCUCAGGGUCGACAGAAGAGGUGGUAUGAUAGGGGUGCCCGCCAGAGAACCUUCCAGGUGGGACAGAAAGUGCUAGUUCUCAGACCAGUAAAAGGGAACAAGCUCCAGACCUCAUGGUAGGGCCCUUACAAGGUGGUAGCCCAAGUAUGUGAUACCACUUACGUAAUAGCCAGUAGCAAGGAUGACCGGGUUCGGAAAUCCUUCCAUGUGAAUCUGCUCAAGGAAUAUCAGGAAAGGGCCGAGGAUAUUGCAGCCAUCUGCAGUCCAAGUACAGAGGACUCAGACGGGCUACCUAUCCCUGACUUGUUAGCGGGUUCCGAACCAAAGAAUAUCCUCGAUGCUAUCCAUGUAGGGGAGCGGUUGAACCCGGCAGAAAAGGGACAGUUCAGACAGCUGUUGACAGAGAAGAGACUGACAUUCUCCCAAGAGCCAGGAUACACGACGUUAGCUACCCAUUAUGUGGAAACCCCAGGGCAGACGCCACUUAGGCAGACCCCUUACCGCAUCCCGGAGGCAGUUAAAGAAGAGAUGAGGAAAGAGAUCCAAGAGAUGCUCAAGUUAGGAGUCAUAGAACCCUCAGACAGCCCGUGGGCCUCCCCUGUAGUAUUGGUACCCAAAAAGGAUGGGACCACCAGGUUCUGCCUCGACUAUAGACGUCUUAAUGAUAGGACAGUGACCGAUGCGUAUCCCAUGCCCCGAGUAGACGAACUCCUAGAUCGCAUUGCUAGGGGGAGAUACCUGACUACCAUUGAUCUGUGCAAGGGGUACUGGCAGAUCCCCCUAGCCAAGGAGGCUGUCCCCAGGUCGGCCUUCGUCACCCCGUUUGGCUUGUACCAAUUCAAAGUCAUGCCAUUCGGGAUGAAGAACGCCCCCGCUACCUUUCAGCGCUUGGUCGACAGGCUCCUUGAUGGCUUCCAGGAUUUCGCAUGUGCGUACCUGGAUGACAUUGCGAUCUACAGCGAGACCUGGGGAGAACACCUCCGACAGGUGGGCGCCGUACUGGAUCAGAUUAGGGCCGCAGACCUCACUCUGAAGCCAGAAAAAUUUAAUUUUGGCAUGGGCGAAGUACAGUACCUGGGACACCGGGUGGGAUGUGGGAAACAACGGCCGGAACCAGCCAAAGUUGAGGCCGUAGCUAAUUGGCCCACACCAAGACCCAGGUAGUCGCUUUUCUAGGGACGGCAGGGUACUACAGGAAAUUUGUCCCCGACUAUAGUAGUGUCGUAUAUAAUUUACUGCAAACCAAUUAGUUUGAAUGACUAUCUGUUCCUGUCCAAAUUAAAGAUAAUAAAGUUGCGUGCACGCAGAAGUAAAUUCACACUGAGACACAAAGUUCAGGUUAAUGAAAGAACUCCGGAGAAGUUUAAUGGCUUCUGACAGAAAAUGGGUGCGCAGACCCUUUUAAAGGCAUUAUUACAUCACUGAAGAAUUCAAGAUAACAGCAAAUAGACACUAUUGAUUGGUCCAGGUGUUAAGUGGUUAGUUAGGUACCCUCCUAUCAAGAGGUGAUGUCAUCCUUGACACGGGAGUGGACACAAGAUGUAGGCACCAUCUUGUUAGCACGAGGUGUUCACUCGAUGGGAGGGGCCUUUUGGCAGCUAUCCAUUUAGAGCGUAACUGGCACUUGUUAGUUUCUCAAGGCUAGGUUUCAAGGCUUUUAGUAAAUACACAUUUUAUCAAAGCUAUUUCUUGCUGACAUGCAAAUUCUAUGUUCUAUAGACAAAGCUUUCUUGUAAAACUAUGGGGGCCUCUUAGAGGUAUAGCAAGAGGAUUUAAAGGGGCCUUACAGAUUUAUAGAGGCCUAAUAAUUCUACAACAGUAGCAUCGCCAAACAUUUAACAGACUUGACCAAAAAGACUCUACCUAGGAUAGUCCUGUGGUCUCCCGCCUCCGAAACAGCAUUUCAGACAUUAAAGAACGCAUUAAUCAACGCUCCUGUGCUAUCUGCUCCAGUCCCUAACAAAAGGUUUGUCGUCCACACAGAUGCCUCCAUGUACGGACUGGUGGCAGUUUUAAGCCAGAUGGGAGAAGAUGGAGGAGAACACCCUGUCGCGUACCUAAGCAGAAAAUUGCUACCCAGGGAAGUGAGCUACGCGGCAGUGGAAAAAGAAUGUUUAGCCCUGGUCUGGGCCCUAAAGAAAUUGACUCCAUAUUUGUAUAGUCAGGAGUUCACCCUCAUCACUGACCAUAACCCUCUCGUGUGGUUGAACCGCGUGGCCGGAGAUAAUGGCCGUUUAUUAAGAUGGACCUGGCGUUACAACCUUAUAAUUUCUCUAUACAAUAUCGGCCAGGUAAACUCAACGGGAACGCGGAUGGCCUGUCCAUACAAACCGAACUGAUGCCCUAACCGAAAUCCGGACAGCCCCACGGUGGUCCGAAAAGGAUCAAUCCGGGUCUGCCGGGGUGUCCCACAAAAGGGGAGCCAUGUAACAACAAGCACAGUAUGACUGCAAAAGACAAAUGGAUUAUACGGCCGUUCGGUAUGUUGUUUGUCAGCAUUCACCAUGCGAAUGCUUACCUGCCUUAACAGGCCACCCUGACUGCUAAUUAUGGCCAAUUUACCUCCCUGGUUGAUGGGCACUUUAUUCGAAUCAACCGCACGAACGCUAUGGGAACUGUAAGCUCAGCCGCCAUUUCGAGACUUACACGUGUUCGCGGCCAUUUUAACUCCCGAACAGUGGUGUUUGCCGAUGAAUGUCUGGAACUAAAAUCGGACACUCAAACAGGCGAACACCGCUGAGACCUCCAUACCUUCGGGAAAACUGCCCAGCGUUCGGUAGAAAGAAUUAGCAGCAGAUGGGGAUUUCAACGAACCCAGGAUGGUAUACGGAUGGCAUACGGAUGGCCGGCCGUUCGGGAGUAUUUACCCACGUUCUUAGACCGACUGCAGGGCCAGCAUUCAUGGAACUGUUUUCGGCUACUGUGCCCGUGCGGUCGGUCAAAACUUCUAAGUCCUAUAUGUCCCGAACGGCUGAACCGAUUGAGCUGAUUUUUACAUAUGUUGGUACCUGAAAUACCUGAAAGUAUUUGGGUUACAUCCAUACUUUGGGGAAAAACUGUUCCUUUUUAAUUAUUUUAUGUAGUUAUCUGAGGGGAGGGAAUUUACUGAAUGUAUAUUGUAUGGAUUGGUUGUACUGCUAAUUAUGUGGGUGUCUCCCUUGCAUGGGUAGAAUCACAUAAAAGCAGAGUGUCUGUCAAUAAACCCUCAGUUCUUCUUGACCCUUCAAAACGUAGCCUCGUCUCGUUCUUGAAAGGGGAAUCUCUGCAGCUUAAUCACUUAGCUCUUUUCAGAGCGGCACCUGGCUUCCACUCCUGAUCCAGCAGAAGGGAAUAGGCGACUCCAUCACUACACGGCGACUGCCGGGAAGAAAAGGACGUCCCUAACGGCUGGUACCCUCUCUACACCAGGGUAGCCGUUACAGCCUGUAUUUCGGUUUUCAGUGCUUGGGUGCCCUUCGCAAUCUCAUUGGGCAAAUAGGCCUUGACGGUCUGCAUUUGGAGCAGAAUACGUGCAGUAUCCUCCGAACAGGCCAUCGAAAUGUCUGAGGCCACCUCGUCUGGGUCUUCCGCCUGGGGGCUUGUCCUGCUGCCAUCUUGAGUACGCUUGGAGCCCCGUCCCAGCUGUGCAAAAAGAGAUGAUACCUACACCUACCGACGGGUUUGUUUCUUCCUACUAGCCUUUAUGCUUCUGGGAAUCUUACCUGAUAAUAAGGGAGAAGAUUUCAGUGAUUCUAGCGGUUUUCUGUGCGAUUUAGAAGCCCUUUCCUCCGGAGCUUGUGGACUAUGCAACCAUCACAGUCGACCUCCAAACCACGGCCCGUUAUGGGGCAUUUUAACAGCUCAUUACUCCAUGAAUGCAGUUUAGUGUCAAAGUAGGCAUCCGGGGUAACUCAUGAUGUGUAGUUUGAGCCCUAUCAUUGGGCCAUUUUGUCACCAAUUUAUUUAUGUAAAUUCUCUAAUUCAGGUGAGCAAAAAAGCCCACUAGUGUUUGACAUAUGAUGCAUUCUGCAUGCUGAGUAGCACCCCACUGACAGAUUACUUACUUUGUGUUAUUUGAAAGGAUGUCUCCUGGAAUUACACUAUGUUGGGUUUCUUCUCUGUUUCUUUGAUGGAUUGUGUUUAAGCUGCCUGAGACAUAACGAUUUUAAAUAACCGUUACUAAAGUUAAAGCAUGGCUGAGAAUUUUACCAAUUUGGCUAUUUUGAUUUUAAAGGGACACUAUAGGCAUGAAAACAACUGUAGUUUAAUGAAGCGGUUUUGGUGUAUAGAUCAUGCCCCUGUAGUCUUACUGCUCAAUUCUCUGUAAAUCACUUUGUUUAUAUCGCCCUAGUCAUGCCUCCUGUGGCUGUGACUGACACAGCAAACAUAAAAAAAGUUUUAAUUUUCAAUCCGAAGUUAAAUGGUUUCUCCAUCCCUUUAUUAUAGUUAAAAGAAUGAUGCCCUGUUGGUGCUACUGUAAAUGCCUUUCUAUAUGAAAAGGCUUCCUGGCGCUGAUCGGCACACCUCUGUCUGACAUCAUGGGAGCCGCGCUGAGGUCCAAUCAAAGACUUCCCAUAGAAAAUGGACAAUUUUACUAGCUCGGAGCUCAUGCACGCACACUGAGCCGGCAAGGGCAUGGGGGUGUGGGACAGAGGGAGGAAAAGGAGUAGGACGGAGGGCAGUUAAUUAAAUAAAAUUAACUAAAUAACGAAGGGGAUUUGGGGGUGGGGGGGAAAGAAGAGCUCUAUAGAGAAGCAGUUAUGUAUGUUGCCAAUGUGCACUGUGUACUGAUGACAGACGUAAUUUAUGCACAGAAUUGACAAGUCGCGCUUGUCGGGUGGAACAACUUGCCCCCAGCACACAAUUAAAAAAACAUCUCUGUGCAUACUUCAAAAAGCAGAAGUGGUCAUGAUGGGUGGAGUAACCCUUUAACUUGUUUUAGUAGUUUUCAUCUCCUGCUCUGUAAAUCAAACACAGGAGGCUCCUGCAGGCUACUAGCAGAACAGGAGAUAAGAAAGUCUAUAUUAAACAGACUGUGCCAAAACUAAAGAUCUUUGUUACAGGAAGUGUUUAGGAAGGUUGUGUAAGUCACAUGCAGGCAUGUGACUAACUCCUAGCCACCCUCCUAAGCUCAAAAGGUAGGAAACAGGAGGGUGGCCUAAAAUAUUUAUUUUUGUGUGUGCAUCUAUAAUAGUGUGUUCAUCUGUCAUGUGUUGAGUUCUGUAUAUGCUUUGUGUAUGUGUGUAUGUAUCUAUUUAAGUCUAUCAAAAUAAAAAAGUUUUUGUGAGUGUGUGAGAGAACGGGUGUGUCAGUGAAUGUGUAUGUUUAGGUCCCCAACCCUGCUCUCGUCCCCCCUCCCCACUUGCCUUUUUUCCCAAAGCUGUGCCGUUCUCGCCUUGACUGGCCCGCCUCCAUACCUGAGAUUAUCAGCCUUGUCAAACACUGGCCAAAGUUAGUGUUAAUAAUUGUGUGUGAAAAAUGCAGAAAACUAAUUUGAACGCCAGUUUUUGCCAGUGUUUGUGACUAAGUGGCUACUAAAAAAGACUGGACAUACCCCAUUUGCAAUACCUUAGGUUGUCUACUAUUGCAAAUGGUAUGCCAUCACGGGGGUGAUUUUUAUUCCUGGACUACCAUACGGUCUCAAGGGCAAUGUAACCAAUCUGGUGAAUUUCAAUGUGAAAAAAAUGAAACACAAACCUUAUAUUUACUCUGCCCUACCUGUCCCCAGAUUGAAGAGCCUGAAGCCCAGCAGGCUCCCACAGCAGAAGCGAUGCCUACAGAGCAGCACUGGCCUCUGCCCUACCGGUCCAUUUGUUCUGGGACCUGACCUACUCAGCUGCAAUGCUGGCUACGGGGCAGAGCGCCGCUGGCCUCUGCCCACCAAGUACCCACAACUCCAUGCCUGAGAGUACAAGAGAGACCUGGGGUGACGGAUGCCCACUCAGCAGCCUUGGACAUAUUGGACAGAGUCGGGCUCCGGAGGUCACCAGGUCAGCUACUUGUGGUUGGGUGGGCUGCCCGACUAACUCACUUACCUGGUUAGUCUUCGCUUGGGGGGGGGGAGAAUUGCCUGCCAGCCUCCUGCCUCAGGACUAUAGGCCCUGCAAUAUACCUUGCCCAGUGCACUUUAAAAGGCUUUGUCCAUGGGAUUUAUAUACGUUUGUACUCCAGAAAGAGAGACCGACUGUAAGCCCUGAUCCCUGUUACUGUUUUGGGCAUGGACCAUACGUGAAGUCGGUCAAAUUAUGACUUCCAGGAAAUUCCUGAACCGAUCUGGGUGAUUUUUGGAUAUGUUGGUCACCCACAUCAGGGAUAUCAGGGAAUGUACCUUUUGUAGGGGGUUUGUGUGUUUAACGGUGUUUGGGGUUUUUUGUAAAAAUGUAUGUUUUCUGUGCCUGGAGAUAAUUGAGUUUAAUACAGUGCUUGACUCAAUUAUCUCUUGGGCACAGAGGAGGGAUUAUCCUGUUUUGUGUGGGAGUAUUCUGGACCUGAGAGCCAAUGUAAAUACAGUAUGUACUUUGUUAUAGUCUAUUCUCAGGUCCAGUGGGGAAUACCCCUGGAAUAUGUUAAUGUAAACCCCUUGCAUUUAAGGCCAAUUGUGGCUACCAAUAAACCAGUUCCUGCUUACCCUCAACAUAGUCUCAUCUCAUGUGUGGAGGGAACGGCUGUAUCACUCUGGGGAUUGCUAUAUCACUAUACUCCCCUGGGAUUAUAAUCACUUUUAAGAGCACUCUUUUAAGAGCAUAUUGCUACACUCUCUUGGAGGAGAGGUCUACCCACUGGAAGCUGGAUCCUGGUCUUGGGUCCAGGGUGGGUGUAGGACAGCAAGACCCCGUGCCAAGCUGUAAUGCUGGAAGUGGGAACUACAGUGCUGAUGGUGUCUGGUGGAGUGCUUGGAGUACUCGGUGAGCACUAGGAAGCAUCGAUUGGUGGAGGCACCUGCCAAGAAUGGGGUACAUUGACGUUGUGGCAGGCUUAUGCAAUAUAUGAUCAUAUAAUCUAACUAAACCCCAUUAUUUUUUUGCCUAGGUGAGUUUUUUUUUUUUUUUAAAUAAAACUAUUACAAUCUGUGAGAUUUGAAAUCAUUGUUUAGUGAGUAAGCGAGUGGGCUGUAUUGUGUAUUUUGAAUGUUUGUGUAUAUAAAUGUGUGUGUGUGUGU
rnacentral:lncRNA from 1 species